UAGUGUCACUGAUGAGGAUGAGUUGU
rnacentral:piRNA from 1 species